ensembl:ncRNA F22F4.8 ncRNA
CUGCUAGCAGCUCAUCGUUUAGGGAGCGACUAGUUUUGGGCUGGAAAAGGAAUUGAAAACGAAGCUCUCUUUUCUCUUUUCCUUCUUUUCCUCCUUCUUCUUUUUUCUUCUCCGUCUUC